rnacentral:lncRNA from 1 species
AAAUCUGAAAUGAUGGAGGGAAUAAGGAAUGGUGUAGCAAUUGAGUGCAAUGAGUGGUGUUUGGAAUGAUUCAAAGGUGAAAGUGAAGUGAUGAUGCAAAGCAUGGGGAUAAAAUGGAGUGGUGUUGCAGCUAGGGAACAUGAAUGAUUGUGCACAUGGUAGAGAAAGGAAAGGGAGGUGGAAUGAUGCAACAAAUAAGUCAAUGGAGGGAAC